rnacentral:rRNA from 1 species
GAUGAACGCUAGCGGGAGGCCUAACACAUGCAAGCCGAGCGGUAUUGUUUCUUCGGAAAUGAGAGAGCGGCGUACGGGUGCGGAACACGUGUGCAACCUGCCUUUAUCUGGGGGAUAGCCUUUCGAAAGGAGAUUAAUACUCCAUAACAUAUUGAACGGCAUCGUUUAAUAUUGAAAGCUCAGGCGGAUAGAGAUGGGCACGCGCAAGAUUAGCUAGUUGGUGAGGUAACGGCUCACCAAGGCAAUGAUCUUUAGGGGGCCUGAGAGGGUGAUCCCCCACACUGGUACUGAGACACGGACCAGACUCCUACGGGAGGCAGCAGUGAGGAAUAUUGGUCAAUGGGUGCAAGCCUGAACCAGCCAUCCCGCGUGAAGGACGACUGCCCUAUGGGUUGUAAACUUCUUUGAUAGGAUAACCUUCCACGUGUGGAAAGCUGAAGGUACUAUACGAAUAAGCACCGGCUAAACUCCGUGCCAGCAGCCGCGGU